rnacentral:rRNA from 1 species
AUGGAUCUACUACCGCCGGCGUCAGAGGCGCCGGCCGGUGGCGGCGCAGUUGGGGGCCGAGGGCUGCGACGCGGGGUCGGGUUCCCGUCGCUCAAGCUGGUGAACGUGUCCAUGGAAGAGGCCCUCCCAGCCGAGCCCGUCGGCGUCGCCUACGGCCGCCUCACCAACGGACUCACCUACUACGUCCGCUCCAACCCCAAGCCCCGCAUGCGCGCAGCCCUCUCCCUCGCCGUCAAGGUCGGGUCGGUGGUGGAGGAGGAGGACGAGCGCGGGGUGGCGCAUAUCGUCGAGCACCUCGCCUUCAGCGCAACGUCACGCUACACCAAUCACGACAUCGUUAGGUUCCUCGAGAGCAUUGGCGCAGAGUUUGGCGCCUGCCAGAACGCUCUCACUUCCUCUGACGAAACCAUCUAUGAGCUGCUCGUGCCUGUGGACAAGCCCGGACUGCUCUCCCAGGCAAUCUCCGUCCUCGCAGAGUUCAGCUCCGAGGUUCGGGUUUCAGCGGAGGAUCUGGAGAAAGAAAGGGGUGCUGUGCUGGAGGAAUACAGGGGCGGGCGCAACGCCACUGGGCGGAUGCAGGACUCCCACUGGACAUUGUUGUUUGAGGGUUCUAAGUAUGCAGAAUGUUUGCCGAUAGGUACAGAGAAGGUGAUACGGACUGUUACACAUGAGGCAGUUAGAAAUUUUUAUCAUAAGUGGUACAAUCUAAGCAAUAUGGCUGUCUUUGCAGUGGGAGACUUCCCAGAUACACAGGCUGUUGUUGAGUUAAUAAAGGAGCAUUUUGGUCAGAAAGCCUCAAUUUCCUGCCCUCCACUGGUUAUACCGGAGUUUCCAGUUCCAUCGCAUAUUGAACCUCGAUUUUCAUGCUUUGUGGAAUCCGAAGCUGCAGGGUCAGCUGUUGUUAUUAGCUGCAAGAUGCCUGCCGGUGAAAUUAAAACAGUCAAGGAUUAUAGGGACUCAUUGGCAGAAUCAAUUUUCCAUUGUGCUCUGAACCAGAGGCUCUUCAAACUAUCUCGUAGGAGGGAUCCUCCAUACUUCUCUUGCUCUUCAGCUGCAGAUGCUCUUGUCCGUCCGGUGAAGGCAUAUAUUAUGACAUCCAGUUGUCGCGAAAAAGGCACGGUUGAGGCUCUUGAGUCUAUGCUAGUGGAGGUUGCUAGGGCACGGCUCUAUGGAUUUUCUGAACGUGAGAUAUCCAUUGUGCGUGCUUUAAUGAUGUCAGAGAUCGAGUCUGCAUAUCUGGAGCGUGAUCAAAUGCAAUCAACCAGCUUACGUGAUGAGUAUCUGCAGCAUUUUCUUCGCGAGGAGCCUGUUGUCGGGAUUGAAUAUGAAGCACGGUUGCAGAAGACUCUUCUUCCAUACAUUUCUUCUGCUGAAGUGGUGAAGUUUGCGGAAAAUUUUUCAACAACCAGUAGCUGUGUUAUCAAGAUAGUUGAGCCCCGGGCCCAUGCUUCUCUGGAGGAUCUGAAAGCUGUUGUAUUGAAAGUUAACACUCUAGAAGAAAAGAGGAGUAUUCCUCCCUGGGAGGAAGAGCAAAUCCCUGAAGAAAUUGUUAGCCAAAGUCCAGUGCCAGGAAUUAUUGUUGAUAAAGUGGAGCACCCAGGCAUAGGUGCCACUGAGAUGAUACUAUCUAAUGGGAUGCGAGUUUGCUACAAGUGUACUGACUUUCUUGAUGAUCAGGUUGUUUUUACUGGGUUUGCCUAUGGUGGCCUGUCCGAAUUAUCUGAAGAUGAAUAUACUUCAUGCACAAUGGGCUCGACAAUAGCAGGAGAAAUUGGUAUUUUUGGCUACAGACCUUCUGUCUUGAUGGACAUGCUUGCUGGCAAGAGAGCUGAAGUUGGUACAAAAGUUGGGGCGUACAUGAGAUCAUUUUCUGGCGAUUGUUCACCUUCAGAUCUUGAGAUUGGUUUACAGCUUGUCUACCAACUAUUUACAACAAAGGUGGAGCCAAGGGAGGAAGAAGUAAAAAUAGUCAUGCAAAUGGCGGAGGAAGCUAUCUAUGCUCAGGAAAGAGAUCCUUACACUGCAUUUGCAAAUCGUUCACGGGAAAUAAAUUAUGGGAACUCCUACUUCUUUAAGCCAAUUAGAAUAAGUGAUUUGAAGAAAGUGAAUCCAAUCAGAGCAUGUGAAUAUUUCAACAUGUGCUUCAAGGAUCCAUCAGCUUUUACCGUUGUAGUAGUUGGAAACAUAGACCCAGCCAUCUCAAUCCCACUGAUUUUGGAGUACCUGGGUGGGAUACCAAAGGUACAGGAUACAGUUCAGCCACUUAGUCGUGAGGAUCUAAAGGGAUUGCCCUUCAAGUUUCCGGAAACCAUAAUUAGAGAAGUUGUCCGCAGCCCUAUGGUUGAAGCUCAGUGCUUCGUCCAACUAGGGUUUCCAGUGGUUCUAAAGAGCACAAUGAUGACGGAGGAUAUUCACUAUGUCGGAUUUUUAAGUAAACUUCUCGAAACAAAAAUCAUGCAAGUACUCCGCUUCAAAUAUGGACAGGUCUACUCAGUUAAUGUAGGUGUCUUCUUAGGUGGCAACAAACCUUCUAGAAGUGGAGAUGUUCGUGGAGACAUAAGUGUGAAUUUCUCAUGCGAUCCAGACAUGUCAUCUAGGCUUGUUGAUUUUGUUCUGGAAGAGAUAUCAUAUCUACAGACAGAAGGCCCUUCUGAAGAAGAUGUAUGGACCAUCCUAGAAAUUGAACAAAGAGCACAUGAAAACGGAUUGCAGGAAAAUUAUUACUGGUUGGAUCGAAUUCUGCGGAGCUAUCAAUCAAGGAUUUAUUCGGGAGAUGUUGGAUCCACCUUCAUGGUUCAAGAUGAGGGACGUGUAAAAGUUAGAGAAGCUUUAACACCACAGGCCAUGCAAAUGGCCUUGCGAAGGGUGAUAUCUUUCCCAUGUAAAAAACAGUACACGGUAGUAAUUCUUAUGCCUAAGUCAUCUUGUUGGAAUUCGUUGAUAUCGGUGGUUUGUUGGAGUUCUGGUGGAUUUAGCAGAGAUGCAAAGAUUUUGGCUGGCAUGGCUGGUGCACUGGUCGUAGCAGCCAGUUUGUGGAGAUACUCACGGGGUGCAUUGAGAUCGUAG